GAGAGAUUGAAAACUUAUGUUUACAGAAAACCAUUGUAUGAACCAGUUCUUAUCCUUAAUUGAUCACAGGUCCCAGCAGCAUAUAAGAAAGCAGCAUUUAGAUAUUUUUCAAAAGAGCCAUAUUUUAUAGUACUGAAUGCAUGGAUUUGAAAUGUAAGAUAGACUACAUCAUAGAAGUAGGGGAACAGCAUGAAUACAGAAGAUUGUUUAUAGAAAGUAUAAGAAGGAAUGUUUAAAAAAGCCUCAGUAAUACAGCUAAUAGCUGAGUGCAGAUGGCAAGUCAAGUAAGACAACAAGAAAAUUAUGUGACAGUGCUAUAUAACUUCAAAAGAUUUAACUUUGUAGAUAAGAUGGUUAAAAAGACAAACAAAAAAUUAGCAAUACAGAAGGGACCAAUAGUCUUUAAUUUACUCAGAAAUAAAAAAAGAUCUCUUAAAAGACUUAGAAAAGCAAGGAUGUAUAAAACAUCAGUGAAAGAGGUAAUGACACAAAAUUCAGUGUCAUACAUAGGGGU
rnacentral:lncRNA from 1 species